rnacentral:rRNA from 1 species
UGAGGAACAUGACUUUCGGCGGGGGAUAGCCGGCCCAACGGCCGGGUAAUACCGCGUACGACCACAUGGGGACAUCCCUGGGUGGUGAAAGUAGCAAUGCGCCGAUGGAGUGCCUCGCGGCCUAUCAGCUAGUUGGUGAGGUAACGCUCACCAAGGCGACGACGGGUANCUGGUCUGAGAGGAUGGCCAGCCACAUUGGGACUGAGACACGGCCCAGACCUCCGUACGGGAGCAG